rnacentral:rRNA from 1 species
AUGAGCCGCGCGCAGGGGCAGCUGCAGGUGGGUUUUUACAGCACCACCUGCCCCAACGCCGAGGCCAUCGUCCGGCAGGCCGUCACGGCGGCCUUCGCCAACGACCCCGGCGUCAUCGCCGGGCUCAUCCAGCUCCAUUUCCACGACUGUUUCGUCGAGGGUUGUGAUGCGUCAGUGCUCCUCGGCGGCCAGACGGAGCGUGAUGCACCGCCGAACAACCCCAGCCUCCAUGGCUUUGAGGUUGUCGAUGCGGCCAGAGCCGCGCUAGAACAGAGCUGCCCACGCACUGUGUCAUGCGUCGAUAUCCUAGCGUUCGCCGCCCGGGACAGUGUCAACCUCACCGAAGGCAAUGCAUUCUGCCAGGUCCCCACGGGCCGCCGCGACGGGAGCAUCUUGACUAUUGAUAGCGCGUUUGGCCUCCCUAGUCCAAACUUGACAGCGGAUGGGCUCAUACAAAGUUUCAAGAACCGCGAUGAAGAGAUGGUGAUACUAUCCGGGGCCCACACAUUGGGCCGCUCCCACUGCGACUCCUUCAUCUUCAAGAACCGCGAGAGGCUGGCGAACGGCACCAUCAGCCCGACAUACCAGGCGCUGCUGGAGGCGUUGUGCCCGACGAACACGGUCCAGGUAACGAACGUGACGACGAUGAUCGACCUCAGCACACCGACGGUGCUGGACAACAACUACUACAAGCUCUUGCAGCUCAACCUGGGCCUGCACUUCUCCGGCGACCAGCUCAUCCGCAACGCCACGCUCAAGGCCUCCGUCGAUGCCUUCGCCGCCAAUGAGUCGCUCUAGAAGGAGAAAUUCAUCGCCGCCAUGAUCAAGAUGGGCAACAUCGAGCCGAAGACCGGCGCCCAGGGAGAGAUCCGCCUCAAUUGCAGCGUCGUCAACCCGCCGCCGUCAUCGUCUUCCGCCUCCGUAAGGGCGAUCGAGAUGCUUCGCCCGGUUGUUGACGAUAAUACCCCCCAUGGCGACGCUGAGGUCGCCACGAGCUGA